rnacentral:rRNA from 2 species
UUCUUUAGAGCUUGCUUUAAAGAAGUUAGCGGCGGACGGGUGAGUAACACGUGGGCAACCUGCCUGUAAGACUGGGAUAACUUCGGGAAACCGGAGCUAAUACCGGAUAAUAUAUAGUACCUCCUGGUACUAUAUUGAAAGUUGGUUUCGGCUAACACUUACAGAUGGGCCCGCGGCGCAUUAACUAGUUGGUGAGGUAACGGCUCACCAAGGCAACGAUGCGUAACCGACCUGAGAGGGUGAUCGGCCACACUGGGACUGAAACACGGCCCAAACUCCUACGGGAGGCAGCAGUAGGGAAUCUUCCACAAUGGACGAAAGUCUGAUGGAACAACGCCGCGUGAGCGAUGAAGGCCUUCGGGUCGUAAAGCUCUGUUGUUAGGGAAGAACAAGUGCGAGAGUAACUGCUCGCACCUUGACGGUACCUAACCAGAAAGCCACGGCUAACUACGUGCCAGCAGCCGCGGUAAUACGUAGGUGGCAAGCGUUGUCCGGAAUUAUUGGGCGUAAAGCGCGCGCAGGCGGUUUCUUAAGUCUGAUGUGAAAGCCCACGGCUCAACCGUGGAGGGUCAUUGGAAACUGGGAGACUUGAGUGCAGAAGAAGAGAGUGGAAUUCCACGUGUAGCGGUGAAAUGCGUAGAGAUGUGGAGGAACACCAGUGGCGAAGGCGACUCUCUGGUCUGUAACUGACGCUGAGGCGCGAAAGCGUGGGGAGCAAAC